UCAGAAAAGCAUUAGACUCCCUCAAGUUUGCUAGUUCAUCUGUGGAUAAUGGCAGCCCCAAUGGUGCCUGCCACCUGGACGUGUCGUGAGGCAAGAGACCUCAGGGCCCUGCACUUUUGGGGAAGGGGCGAGCUUGGCCGCCGAGGGAGGAGUGCAGGCAUCAAACUCGACUCCUCCUGGGAGUCCCUUGCUGCUGGCUCAGGAUGAAACAGAAGAUUCGAACUCUGCUGCUCUCUUCUGGAGCUGCCGGAAGCUGCCUGGUUCACGUGGACAUUAUGUAUCAUUAAAUAAAAGACAGCGAAGAUCAUGGCUUCUCAUACAAGCCAAUAAAUUUCGGUGGAUAGAAUUCCCCAAAAUAGAAUGUGCACUUGGACACCCUGAGCCAAUCUCGGCAUUGCUGGUGUGAGCCGUCCUCACACAGCUCAGAGGCCAAGGACAGGGGCAUGGCUGCUGCUUACGGGCAGUGAACAACCCACCCUGACCAGCCAAGGGGCGGCUCUGGGGCCCCAGCUCAAUUCCAGGUGUCAUCGGAGAGUGGGGGUGUAAGAGGGGCAGGAAUUCCUCAGCAAAGCACAUUUAGCCAAGUGUUCUCUCCGUUUGGGGAACCAUUUCAGCUGCUUUAGCAGACGAUGAAACAGCAGUGGCUUAGACAACACAAGAAAACACGACACCCCCAUGGAAAUGCCGGACACGUCCCUGGAGCUGUGGGACAUACAUGGUCUCGGAAGCCCCCUCUUCCCACUCAGGUGCUUACUCAGCCUCCCAAGGUUGUGCUGGGAGUACAUCAGGGCAUGGGGCUGUGGUGGUGAAGGUGGGAGAGGGGCACGGGGCUGUGGUGGUGAAGGCGGGAGAGGGGCAUGGGGCUGUGGUGGUGAAGGCACUGGGGGGGUGUGGGGUGGCCACUGUAGGGCGUGGCCAGGUACCGAGGGCUGCUCAGCUGCAUCCAGGGAACGCCUCCCCCCGCACCCCACCAUGGGUCACUCAAGACUCGAAUCUGCACAACUUUCUUUCCCCUGCUGCCCUGGCCCUUCCGAGCCGGGAGAUGUGAUUUGCCUCGUAAAAAGUAAGCCUUCAAAUUCUAUUCUUGGGGCUCAUGAAUGAACGAGGAAAGCACUACAAAGCCAAAAGGAAAGGAAGGUGCAUCGGUUCCUCCUGCAACACAAACUUCUAGCGGCCCCACGAGGCGCUAUGGGCUUCAAAGGAAGUCAUACCAGGGAGCCCUCGGUAAGCUGCCCGGAUACAGGCACAGCCCAGCCUGCAGCCCACAGCCCACAGGGGAGGCUGAGGACAUGCCAAGGCCACCCGUGCACACCUCCACCCCCGCUGGGACCCUGUGAGCCAGCCCUGUGCCCGGCGGGAACCUAACUCACUGGGUCCUGGCAUUAUGGUGCACGUAAGCCACGCAGCAGAUGAAGAUACUUAAAACUACUGGGUGUCAGAACAUGCCACACCUUUCUAAUCAUAUCCAAUGACACCUCUUAUUAGUUUAAUUAAAACUGAAUGCUUAAUUUGGCCAUACGGAGACAGAACACAGCAAGUUGUACCUAAAAGCACUCAUUAGCGCCUGGACAGUGCGAUCCUCUGGGAGGUGCUGCUGGCGGUGGGAUUCUUACAGCCGUGUGGAGAAAAGUCGGCCUGGAUGUGCAGCCUAGCCCCACCACCUGGCCAACUAAUACCUCCAAUGUGCUUUCCUGUCUAUCAGGUAAGAACAGCAGCAGCUCAGGCCGGGUGCAGUGGCUCACACCUGUAAUCCCAGAACUUUGGGAGACCGAGGCGGGUGGAUCACCUGAGGUCGGAAGUUCGAGAACAGCCUGGCCAACACGGUGCAACCCCGUCUCCACUAAAAAUACAAAAUUAGCCAGGUGUGGUGGCACCUGUAAUCCCAGCUACUUGGGAGACUGAGGCAGGAGAAUCGCUUGAACCCAGGAGGUAGAGGUUGCAGUGAGCUCAGAUUGCGCCAUUUUACUGCAGCCUGGGCAAUAAGAGAGAAACUCCUUCUCAAAAAAAAAAAAAUACAGCAGCUCUCAUGCAGGGUUUUUGGAAGACUAGAAAUAAAGUGUGUAAAAUAUCUGAUAUGUAAUAGUCACUAAUAAAUAAUGGUUGUUAUGAUUGGCUAAUAGAGUGUCAAUAACUCUUCAUUGAUAGUGGUGUGGAUAAAGGAGAAGCCCUUAUUUCAAAGGAAUCAAAACAUACCACAACACAAUUUGACAUAAUUUUAUACAUGGUUAUCCCACCUGUAGACAGUAAUCUACCUGAAAGCAGGGGAGAUAUUUGUCUCAGGGAUUCAAUCUGUAAUUUUCGAAUCAGUGGGCCUACCCUUUGUCUGUAUCACCAUAUUCUAUCGUAUGCUUCUUGAGUGAAAAGAUUUUUUUAAUUAUCUUUUCUUCUUAAAGGAUUAAAAAACCUGAGAAUAUCAAUUGUGCCCUUCCUGGUUUAGCAGUAUUAAUAAGGUAAGGUGUCUAUGACAGUAGAUUAUUAUCAACACACCCACCUCACUGUGGUCAUCAGACACUUGCAGAGGAAGUACCUGCCUGGAGACACAUCUGUGGUCUCGGCCAGAGAACCAGAGCCCCACCAUCAAGAGACUUACGCGCGUGUGCCCCCCACCAGGAAAUCCUAACGGACCAAAUAUCUAAAAGCACAGAGUUUCGGAACUAAACUCUAAUCUAGUGCAACUUCAUUGUUGGUUUAAUAAGGGGGUGAAUUUUUUACUAUCAGAAGGAACUUUUCCUUGACCGUUUCAUACCAUUUUUCUUAGGGUACGUGAAUGCAUUUAAGACAACAUUUUGUUUCCUCUCAUGGCAAAUAUAAACCUUAUAUUAUGAAGUUUUCUAGUGUAUGAAGUGAAGCUUAUUUGUGUUUUCAAUAGACCAAUGACUGCUAGAAAAAUUUCUAUCCUAAGAAAACAGAAAAACCAAUCAAACUCGGGAGAAAUCUCCUUGCCCACAGAGAUUACAGAGCAAUUCUUUUGUGACCCUAAAGAGAAAUAUAUAGCACAGGUGAGGUGCUCAAUGACACACAGGCAUUGAGGAGUGAGGGGUGAGUGAUCACAGUGCAUGUCUGAGAUGGAAUUUCAUCUCACGUUGUAUCAGAGCCGUUCAUGACAGAGGAAAGCGUCAGGCCACGCGGUGUGGUGGGAAAACGGGACGGUGGAAUGUACUCCAUGGAAAGAAACAGUUAUCGGUGUCUCUCUCUGAGUGAGAGGCUUGUGGACGACGUUUCUAUAAUACAUUUCACAUUUACAAUUAGGAAAAAUCAUUAUUUUCAAAAUACCGAUGCCAAUUGAAUUAAGUCACAGGAGUGACGGAGCCUAAGAUUCUACUGCGGCGCAA
rnacentral:lncRNA from 1 species